rnacentral:rRNA from 1 species
GCAAGUCGAACGGUAACAUUUCUAGCUUGCUAGAAGAUGACGAGUGGCGGACGGGUGAGUAAUGCUUGGGAACUUGCCUUUGCGAGGGGGAUAACAGUUGGAAACGACUGCUAAUACCGCAUAAUGUCUUCGGACCAAACGGGGCUUAGGCUCCGGCGCAAAGAGAGGCCCAAGUGAGAUUAGCUAGUUGGUAAGGUAACGGCUUACCAAGGCGACGAUCUCUAGCUGUUCUGAGAGGAAGGUCAGCCACACUGGGACUGAGACACGGCCCAGACUCCUACGGGAGGCAGCAGUGGGGAAUAUUGCACAAUGGGGGAAACCCUGAUGCAGCCAUGCCGCGUGUGUGAAGAAGGCCUUCGGGUUGUAAAGCACUUUCAGUUGUGAGGAAAAGUUAGUAGUUAAUACCUGCUAGCCGUGACGUUAACAACAGAAGAAGCACCGGCUAACUCCGUGCCAGCAGCCGCGGUAAUACGGAGGGUGCGAGCGUUAAUCGGAAUUACUGGGCGUAAAGCGCACGCAGGCGGUUUGUUAAGCUAGAUGUGAAAGCCCCGGGCUCAACCUGGGAUGGUCAUUUA